AAGGGCGGGAGGGAAGAAAUGAGCGAGAGAAGGAGAAAGGGAGGAGGCAGGGAAGCAAAGGUAGGAACAGAGAAAACCAUGGCCCAACUUCUUGACCCAGGAACCUCUUGGUUCAGCUAUGAUGUCAUAGUAUAACAAGUGAAACCCAAGCAUGGAGACAGCAGCUUUCCGAGUGAUUCCCCCCCCCCCCCCCCCCGUUAACAGGAAUAUCAACACACCCUCUAUCUGGACAGUCCGAGGCUCUAAGCCUGCAGCCUUGUGCCUUUCACAAACAUUAGCCGGGGACAACGGUGACUAAAACCUACUCCCAAGGUUUUAAAAUAGUUCUUCUUAAAAGUUAUUUAUUUCAUAUUCAAUCAGCUUUCCUAGAGCCAGUAAGGCUGUGAACUCCCACAUGACCUGUACUGUCUAGGAGGAGGUGGCCACUUGCUGCUCCAGAGCACACAGACCUUUAGGGGUUGAUCCAGCAUGGACAUUGACUAUCUGAGGGAAUC
rnacentral:lncRNA from 1 species